rfam:Rattus norvegicus chromosome 13, whole genome shotgun sequence.
ACAUAAGUGAGUAUCACCUUGAACACACCUGAUCUUGCCUGAUCUCAGAAGCUAAGUAGGGUUGGGUUUGGUUAGUAAUUGGAUGGGAGACAUUUUGACAUUUAAAGAAUAAUAAAUGUA